GACCACAGCUGUAGGCAAAGCAGGAAGCCGGCUAUUAAGGGGAAACAAAAGCAUCACAAAGAGUCGCUGUCUCUGUGGAUUGAGCUGCUUGCUGAGCCCCAGGCAGGCUCUGAUGGGAACCUCCUGGCUGGGAGGGGUGGAGGAAGCUGAUGGAGGUCUUGGCAGCCUGACCCUAAGG
rfam:Tarsius syrichta cont1.128714, whole genome shotgun sequence.